UACGUAGGGGGCAAGCGUUGUCCGGAUUUACUGGGCGUAAAGAGCGUGUAGGCGGCCACGCAGGUCCGUUGUGAAAACUGGAGGCUCAACUUCCAGACGUCGACGGAAACCGUGUGGCUAGAGUCCGGAAGAGGAGAGUGGAAUUCCUGGUGUAGCGGUGAAAUGCGCAGAUAUCAGGAAGAACACCAAUGGCGAAGGCAGCUCUCUGGGACGGUACUGACGCUGAGGAGCGAAAGCAUGGGGAGCGAACAGG
rnacentral:rRNA from 1 species